UCGGAUCACCUCCUCUUGUCCCUACCAUC
rnacentral:sRNA from 1 species